CUAAACAAGGAAACCUUCGGUUCCCUUUGUUUGAAUAAACGCCGCUUAUUUUAGUUUACAUUCAAACCAAAGUAAACCAAGCCUAAGCGGUCACGACAUCUUGUUGAUAUUGAUUGAGGAGUUUGAUGGAGUUUAGCUGACUGAAUCCAUAAACCUAGAAAGUCGCCGUCACUGGUACUUUUUGAUUUUAAUUUGACUCUAUAGGUAGGUAUCGGCGGGGCUUGCGUAAUGUAGUUGUAGUUAAGGCUGAAGUAGCGCUUUUUAUUUUAGAAGAUCUACUGAAGUACCAAAGGCGAACGGGGCUCCCAGGCCGGGACGUCUAGAGAAGAUUUCGUCCACAAAGCGGGACAGAGUGCGACCCCUAAGCAAUUGGGGGUUCUUGCUCAUCUCUUGGGGGUCCAUCUCAUCUGAAAACUUUUCCUCUUCCAUUAGCAUAGCUAAAUUUGAAUAGGAUGAAUCAGCCUCAGGAAAAGUAAGCCCCCUUGCCUUGAUUUAAUUUGGCUUCGCUGCGCCCUGAAUCAAUCAAAAAGCUUAUUGAUUUGAUUCAUCCCAUUUCAUUUAUUUGGGCGAGAGGGAGGCUGUGAGUCACCUGGGCUACGGAUUUU
rnacentral:lncRNA from 1 species